AUUGAACGCUGGCGGCAGGCCUAACACAUGCAAGUCGAACGAGUGGCGGACGGGUGAGUAAUGUCUGGGAAACUGCCUGAUGGAGGGGGAUCACUACUGGAAACGGUAGCUAAUACCGCAUACCAUCGGAUGUGCCCAGAUGGGAUUAGCUAGUAGGUGGGGUAAAGGCUCACCUAGGCGACGAUCCCUAGCUGGUCUGAGAGGAUGACCAGCGAAACUGGAACUGAGACACGGUCCAGACUCCAACGAGAGGCAGCAGUGGGGAAUAUUGAACAAUGGGCGCAAGCCUGAUGCAGCCAGGCCGCGUGUAUAAAGAAGGCCUUCGGGUUGUAAAGUACUUUCAGCGGGGAGGCGUUACCCGCAGAAGAAGCACCGGCUAACUCCGUGCCAGCCGCCGCGGUAAUUC
rnacentral:rRNA from 1 species